rnacentral:rRNA from 1 species
GGUCAAGUGAAGAAGCGCAUACGGUGGAUGCCUUGGCAGUCAGAGGCGAUGAAAGACGUGGUAGCCUGCGAAAAGCUUCGGGGAGUCGGCAAACAGACUGUGAUCCGGAGAUGUCUGAAUGGGGGAACCCAGCCAUCAUAAGAUGGUUAUCUUGUACUGAAUACAUAGGUGCAAGAGGCGAACCAGGGAACUGAAACAUCUAAGUACCCUGAGGAAAAGAAAUCAACCGAGAUUCCCUUAGUAGUGGCGAGCGAACGGGGACCAGCCCUUAAGUUGUAUUGAGAUUAGCGGAACGUUCUGGAAAGGACGGCCAUAGUGGGUGAUAGCCCUGUACGCGAAAAUCCCUUUGCAAUGAAAUCGAGUAGGACGGGGCACGAGAAACCUUGUCUGAAUAUGGGGGGACCAUCCUCCAAGGCUAAAUACUACUGACUGACCGAUAGUGAACCAGUACCGUGAGGGAAAGGCGAAAAGAACCGCGGAGAGCGGAGUGAAAUAGAUCCUGAAACCGUAUGCGUACAAGCAGUGGGAGCCCACUUGUUGGGUGACUGCGUACCUUUGUAUAAUGGGUCAGCGACUUAUUUUCAGUGGCGAGCUUAACCGAAUAGGGAGGCGUAGCGAAAGCGAGUCUUAAUAGGGCGUCUAGUCGCUGGGAAUAGACCCGAAACCGGGCGAUCUAUCCAUGGGCAGGUUGAAGGUUGGGUAACACUAACUGGAGGACCGAACCGACUACCGUUGAAAAGUUAGCGGAUGACCUGUGGAUCGGAGUGAAAGGCUAAUCAAGCUCGGAGAUAGCUGGUUCUCCUCGAAAGCUAUUUAGGUAGCGCCUCAUGUAUCACUGUAGGGGGUAGAGCACUGUUUCGGCUAGGGGGUCAUCCCGACUUACCAAACCGAUGCAAACUCCGAAUACCUACAAGUGCCGAGCAUGGGAGACACACGGCGGGUGCUAACGUCCGUCGUGAAAGGGAAACAACCCAGACCGUCAGCUAAGGUCCCAAAGUCAUGGUUAAGUGGGAAACGAUGUGGGAAGGCUUAGACAGCUAGGAGGUUGGCUUAGAAGCAGCCACCCUUUAAAGAAAGCGUAAUAGCUCACUAGUCGAGUCGGCCUGCGCGGAAGAUGUAACGGGGCUCAAACCAUGCACCGAAGCUACGGGUAUCAUCUUUUGAUGAUGCGGUAGAGGAGCGUUCUGUAAGCCUGUGAAGGUGAGUUGAGAAGCUUGCUGGAGGUAUCAGAAGUGCGAAUGCUGACAUGAGUAACGACAAUGGGUGUGAAAAACACCCACGCCGAAAGACCAAGGUUUCCUGCGCAACGUUAAUCGACGCAGGGUUAGUCGGUCCCUAAGGCGAGGCUGAAAAGCGUAGUCGAUGGAAAACAGGUUAAUAUUCCUGUACUUCUGGUUAUUGCGAUGGAGGGACGGAGAAGGCUAGGCCAGCCUGGCGUUGGUUGUCCAGGUUUAAGGUGGUAGGCUGAGAUCUUAGGUAAAUCCGGGAUCUUAAGGCCGAGAGCUGAUGACGAGUGUUCUUUUAGAACACGAAGUGGUUGAUGCCAUGCUUCCAAGAAAAGCUUCUAAGCUUCAGGUAACCAGGAACCGUACCCCAAACCGACACAGGUGGUUGGGUAGAGAAUACCAAGGCGCUUGAGAGAACUCGGGUGAAGGAACUAGGCAAAAUGGCACCGUAACUUCGGGAGAAGGUGCGCCGGUGGAGGUGAAGCAUUUACUGCGUAAGCCCCUGCCGGUCGAAGAUACCAGGCCGCUGCGACUGUUUAUUAAAAACACAGCACUCUGCAAACACGAAAGUGGACGUAUAGGGUGUGACGCCUGCCCGGUGCCGGAAGGUUAAUUGAUGGGGUUAGCGCAAGCGAAGCUCUUGAUCGAAGCCCCGGUAAACGGCGGCCGUAACUAUAACGGUCCUAAGGUAGCGAAAUUCCUUGUCGGGUAAGUUCCGACCUGCACGAAUGGCGUAACGAUGGCGGCGCUGUCUCCACCCGAGACUCAGUGAAAUUGAAAUCGCUGUGAAGAUGCAGUGUAUCCGCGGCUAGACGGAAAGACCCCGUGAACCUUUACUAUAGCUUUGCACUGGACUUUGAAUUUGCUUGUGUAGGAUAGGUGGGAGGCUUUGAAGCGUGGACGCCAGUCUGCGUGGAGCCAACCUUGAAAUACCACCCUGGCAACUUUGAGGUUCUAACUCAGGUCCGUUAUCCGGAUCGAGGACAGUGUAUGGUGGGUAGUUUGACUGGGGCGGUCUCCUCCUAAAGAGUAACGGAGGAGUACGAAGGUGCGCUCAGACCGGUCGGAAAUCGGUCGUAGAGUAUAAAGGCAAAAGCGCGCUUGACUGCGAGACAGACACGUCGAGCAGGUACGAAAGUAGGUCUUAGUGAUCCGGUGGUUCUGUAUGGAAGGGCCAUCGCUCAACGGAUAAAAGGUACUCCGGGGAUAACAGGCUGAUACCGCCCAAGAGUUCAUAUCGACGGCGGUGUUUGGCACCUCGAUGUCGGCUCAUCACAUCCUGGGGCUGAAGCCGGUCCCAAGGGUAUGGCUGUUCGCCAUUUAAAGUGGUACGCGAGCUGGGUUUAGAACGUCGUGAGACAGUUCGGUCCCUAUCUGCCGUGGACGUUUGAGAUUUGAGAGGGGCUGCUCCUAGUACGAGAGGACCGGAGUGGACGAACCUCUGGUGUUCCGGUUGUCACGCCAGUGGCAUUGCCGGGUAGCUAUGUUCGGAAAAGAUAACCGCUGAAAGCAUCUAAGCGGGAAACUUGCCUCAAGAUGAGAUCUCACUGGAACCUUGAGUUCCCUAAAGGGCCGUCGAAGACUACGACGUUGAUAGGUUGGGUGUGUAAGCGCUGUGAGGCGUUGAGCUAACCAAUACUAAUUGCCCGUGAGGCUUGACCAU